rnacentral:rRNA from 1 species
GUGAGGAAUUUUCCUCAAUGGGCGAAAGCCUGACGGAGCAAUGCCGCGUGAAGGAUGAAGGCCUAUGGGUUGUAAACUUCUUUUCUCAGAAAAGAAUUAUGACGGUAUCUGAGGAAUAAGCAUCGGCUAACUCUGUGCCAGCAGCCGCGGUAAGACAGAGGAUGCAAGCGUUAUCCGGAAUGAUUGGGCGUAAAGCGUCUGUAGGUUGUUUAAAAAGUAUUCUGUCAAAGAUUAGGGCUUAACCCUAGAUAGGCAGAAUAAACUUUUAAGCUAGAGUUUGGUAGAGGCAGAGGGAAUUCCCGGUGGAGCGGUGAAAUGCGUAGAUAUCGGGAGGAACACCAAAGGCGAAGGCACUCUGCUGGGCCAAUACUAACACUGAGAGACGAAAGCGAGGGGAGCAAAUGGGAUUAGAUACCCGUGUAGUCC